rnacentral:rRNA from 1 species
GGGGAAUAUUGCGCAAAGGGGGAAACCCUGACGCAGCAAUACCGCGUGAGUGAAGAAGGUUUUCGGAUCGUAAAGCUCUGUUAUUGGGGAAGAAAAAAAGACGGUACCCAAGAAGAAAGUCCCGGCUAACUACGUGCCAGCAGCCGCGGUAAUACGUAGGGGACAAGCGUUGUCCGGAUUUACUGGGCGUAAAGGGCACGCAGGCGGUUUUUUAAGUCAGAUGUGAAAGGUACCGGCUCAACCGGUAACAUGCAUUUGAAACUGAAAGACUUGAGUAUUGGAGAGGCAAGUGGAAUUCCUAGUGUAGCGGUGAAAUGCGUAGAUAUUAGGAGGAACACCGGUGGCGAAGGCGGCUUACUAAGCCAUAACUGACGCUCAUGCACGAAAGCGUGGGGAUCAAACA